CGACGUUCCUAUCGCCAAUACGUGCGGCAUCAUAAUAAUACAAUAUGAUACCUAAUUCACAAGGUUCAAUAGUAUAAUAUUACAAAAUCGGAACGGCACCGCUCGUUUGUACCCGGUGGUGUGCCCGUAUAAAAAAAAAAAAAAAAAUAAAAAAACACUCGUUAAACUUGUUAAACACUCGAGCGUUACUCUGAAUCGCGUUAAACGUUCGCGCGACUCGCAACUCCUUAACAACCGUCGGGGAACAUACUCAACCCGAGCCCGACGGACGGGACCCGUGUUCCGAGCUGGCGCGGUGGUGUCGACUUACGCGCGGUCGAUUUUAAAUUUUUUCUACGCG